rnacentral:rRNA from 1 species
GAAAUUCCACUUUCCUCUAUCAUACUCUAGCUAAAAAGUUUUGAUGGCAGUUCCAAGGUUGAGCCUUGGGAUUUCACCAUCAACUAUUUUAACCACCUACGAACUCUUUAAGCCCAGUAAUUCCGAACUACGCUAGGUCCCUUCGUAUUACCGCGGCUGCUGGCACGAAGUUAGCCGGACCUUCUUAUUCGGGUACAGUCAUUUUCUUCCCCGACGAAAGAGUUUUACAACCCAAAGGCCUUCUUCACUCACGCGGCAUCGCUGCAUCAGGGUUUCCCCCAUUGUGCAAGAUUCCCCACUGCUGCCUCCCGUAGGAGUUUGGGCCGUGUCUCAGUCCCAAUGUGGCUGGUCUUCCUCUAAGAACAGCUAUUGAUCGUUGCCUUGGUAAGCUUUUACCUUACCAACUAGCUAAUCAAGUGCGGGCUCAUCUUUUGGCAUUAAAACUUUCCCUGUAAAGGCUUAUCCGGUAUUAGCACAAGUUUCCUCGUGUUAUUCCGAACCAAAAGGCAGAUUCCCACAUUAUACUCACCCGUUUGCCACUCAGUAUUGCUACUGCGUUCGACUUGCAUGUGUUAGGCGUGCCGCCAGCGUACGUUCUGAGCCAGGAUUCAAACUCU